AUUGAACGCUGGCGGCAGGCCUAACACAUGCAAGUCGAACGAGUGGCGGACGUGUGAGUAAUGUAUGGGAAAAUGCCUGAUGGAGGGGGAUAACUAAGGGAAACGGUAGCUAAUCCCGCAUACCAUCAGAUGUUCCCAGAUGGGAUUAGCUAGUAGUGCGGGUAAAGGCUCACUUAGGGGACGAUCCAUAGCUGGUGUGAGAGGAUGACCAGCCACAGGGUAACUGAGACACGGUCCAGACUCCUAAGGUAGGCAGCAGUGGGGAAUAUGGCACAAGGGGCGCAAGCCUGAUGCAGCAGUGCCUCGUGUAUGAAGAAGGCCUGCGGGGUGGAAAGUAUGUUCAGCGGGGAUGCGUUACCCGUAGAAGAUGCACCGGCUAACGCCGUGCCAGCAGCCGCGGUAAUAC
rnacentral:rRNA from 1 species